UUCCUUUGAGAUAAGAAAGGCUGUUGUCUGCUGUGCACUCCAAGGAGCCAUCGUGGGGCACUUCCAGGGGCAGCUACACCUGACUUUUUAAAGUCACAGGGACAUUUGCAACCACUUCUUCCUCUGGGCCAGGAGCUGCUUUUGAAGACAGAUUAAGUACAAAAUGCAGAGUCAGCAGCUUGAAAGGAUCCCUGAGAACACACAGCAGCCAGGAGAACAUGACAGAACAGGGCAAGGAG